rnacentral:rRNA from 1 species
CCUACGGGUGGCAGCAGUGAGGAAUAUUGGUCAAUGGACGAGAGUCUGAACCAGCCAAGUAGCGUGAAGGAUGACUGCCCUAUGGGUUGUAAACUUCUUUUAUAUGGGAAUAAAAUGUUCCACGUGUGGGUUUUUGUAUGUACCAUAUGAAUAAGGAUCGGCUAACUCCGUGCCAGCAGCCGCGGUAAUACGGAGGAUCCGAGCGUUAUCCGGAUUUAUUGGGUUUAAAGGGAGCGUAGGUGGAUUGUUAAGUCAGUUGUGAAAGUUUGCGGCUCAACCGUAAAAUUGCAGUUGAUACUGGCAGUCUUGAGUACAGUAGAGGUGGGCGGAAUUCGUGGUGUAGCGGUGAAAUGCUUAGAUAUCACGAAGAACUCCGAUUGCGAAGGCAGCUCACUGGACUGCAACUGACACUGAUGCUCGAAAGUGUGGGUAUCAAACAGGAUUAGAUACCCGAGUAGUC